rnacentral:rRNA from 1 species
UACAGAGGUGCCAAGCGUUAGGCGGAAUCACUGGGCUUAAAGCGCGUGUAGGUGGGUCGUUAAGUGUCCGCGUGAAAUCCCACGGCUCAACCGUGGAACUGCCGGGCAUACUGGCGAUCUUGAGGCAUUCAGGGGCGAGCGGAACAGACGGUGGAGCGGUGAAAUGCGUAGAUAUCGGGAGGAACACCUAUGGCGAAGGCAGCUCGCUGGGACGUUACUGACGCUGAGACGCGAAAGCGUGGGGAGCAAACAGG